rnacentral:lncRNA from 1 species
GCUUUUGGAAACUCUUGGGUUUUUCAAUGAACCCUCGUCUCUCUCACAAAACCGCGUCAAACACCGCCUCUCAGACCUCUCUCUCGCGUACUUUCUACCUCAAAGUCGCUCAUCAACGAACCCUCUCACGCUCUCAAACUCAAAGAAUCACUCUCUCUCACUUCUCACGAUAUCUCCAUAACAGCAAGUGAAAAGGAUAAAAGGAAAAAGGAGAAGCUCUUACAAAGUGUCACGGCGGUGGUGAAAGGCGUGAAGAAGCUGGCCUCCCAAUUCAGGUAAUGGAUUUUGGGAUUUUAGGUUUUGUUGAGAUUUUCCCUCCGAUUUUCUGUGUUGAUUCCUCCUCUCUUACUGAUUUUUCUCUCUCUAUUUAUCUCCCAGCUUAGGGUUUCGAAUUGGUGCCCUUGUGUUCAAAAGCGU